rnacentral:tRNA from 1 species
UAGCUCAGUUGGAUAGAGCAACGGCCUUCUAAGCCGUGGGUCGGGGGUUCGAAUCCCUUCC